UGGAGAAGCAGGGCACGUGCC
rnacentral:miRNA from 1 species